GGGCUGUUGUGCUUAGAUGUAAAAGGCUGGGCAGAACUUGCUUUUCAUUUGCCUAAACUCUUGUGAUUUCUGUGGGGACGGUGGUUGGCAGUAAGCUAAUAGUUCAGAGGGAAAAGUCCAGAUGGGAAGAAGACAAGGAAUUUUAGAGAAAAGCCCCUAAGCCAAAGGAAACCGUUCACUCUUCCUUUUAACCCUUAUGGAAAUCUCAUCAAAUUUGGGAAGAUUGACCUGGCCACCACAGCCAGCUUGGUGACCUUACAGAUGGAGUUUUGCUCUGUUGCCCAGGCUGGGGUGCAGUGGUGUGAUCUCGGCUCACUGCAACCUCCGCCU
rnacentral:lncRNA from 1 species